GCAUCAAUGGUGUAGCGGUAUCAUUGUACACUCCCAAGGUACAAACCCGGGUUCGACUCCCGGUUGGUGCA
rnacentral:tRNA from 1 species